rnacentral:rRNA from 1 species
UAGGGAAUAUUAGUAAUGGGCGAAAGCCUGAACUAGCAACGCCGCGUGUGCGAAGAAGGCCUUCGGGUUGUAAAGCACUUUUUGAGAGGAUGAGGAAGGACGGUACUCUCAGAAUAAGUCUCGGCUAACUACGUGCCAGCAGCCGCGGUAACACGUAGGAGGCAAACGUUAUCCGGUUUUACUGGGCGUAAAGGGCGUGUAGGUGGUUUGGUAAGUAGGGCGUGAAAGCUCCUGGCUCAACUGGGCGGGGCCGUUCUAAACUGCGGUACUAGAGGAUGGUAGACGGAGGUGGUAUUCCUGGUGUAGCGGUGGAAUGCGCAGAUAUCAGGAGGAACACCAGUGGCGAAAGCGGCCUCCUGGACCAUUCCUGACACUCAGACGCGAAAGCUAGGGUAGCAAACGG